GGUUGUUAGUAUCUCCACUAAUAAGCAGAGAGGGGUAAAACUCUCAAAGUGAGUUAUGUGGUCAAGGUAUGAUGAUUAAUUGGAGUUCUAGUUCAUUUACUUUGAGAAAAAUUAGAGUGUUUUAAAGCAGCCUCUUGGGGCACUGAAUACAUUAGCAUGGGAUAAUAAAAUAGGAUCUUCACAAUAUAUUUUAUUGGUUUAAAUUGCGUAUGAAGAUAAUGAUUAAUAGGGACAGUUGGGGGUAUUCAUAUUGGGUGGUUAGCGGUGAAAUGCUCGGAUCCAUUCAAGAUGAACUAAAGCGAAGGCAUUUACCAAGGAUGUUUUCAUUAAUCAAGAACGAAAGUUAAGGGGAUCGAAGACGAUUAGAUACCGUCGUAGUCUUAACUAUAAACUAUGCCGACCAGGGAUAUGAGUUGUUAGGAAUAUGCGAAAGUAUAUUCAAUUUCUUCUUAUGGACCUUGUGAGAAAUCAUAAGUUUUUGGGUUCUGGGGGGA
rnacentral:rRNA from 1 species